GGAGUGCCUUACUGUGGCACUCC
rnacentral:sRNA from 1 species